UACGGAGGGUGCAAGCGUUAUCCGGAUUCACUGGGUUUAAAGGGUGCGUAGGUGGGCCGGUAAGUCAGUGGUGAAAUCUCCGGGCUUAACCCGGAAACUGCCGUUGAUACUAUUUGUCUUGAAUGUCGUGGAGGUGAGCGGAAUAUGUCAUGUAGCGGUGAAAUGCUUAGAGAUGGCAUAGAACACCGAUUGCGAAGGCAGCUCGCUACGCGAAUAUUGACGCUGAGGCACGAAAGCGUGGGGAUCAAACAGG
rnacentral:rRNA from 1 species